rnacentral:rRNA from 1 species
UACGGAGGGUGCAAGCGUUAUCCGGAUUUAUUGGGUUUAAAGGGUACGUAGGCGGUGGAGUAAGUCAGUGGUGAAAGCCAACAGCUCAACUGUUGAACUGCCAUUGAUACUGCUUCACUUGAGUGCAGUUGAGGUGGGUGGAAUUCCAUGUGUAACGGUGUAAUGCUUAGAUAUAUGGAGGAACACCGAUAACGAAGGUAACUCACUAAACUGUAACUGACGCUGAGGUACGAAAGCGUGGGGAGCAAACGGG